rnacentral:rRNA from 1 species
GACGAACGCUGGCGGCGUGCUUAACACAUGCAAGUCGAACGGAAAGGCCCUGCUUUUGUGGGGUGCUCGAGUGGCGAACGGGUGAGUAACACGUGAGUAACCUGCCCUUGACUUUGGGAUAACUUCAGGAAACUGGGGCUAAUACCGGAUAGGAGCUCCUGCUGCAUGGUGGGGGUUGGAAAGUUUCGGCGGUUGGGGAUGGACUCGCGGCUUAUCAGCUUGUUGGUGGGGUGGUGGCUUACCAAGGCUUUGACGGGUAGCCGGCCUGAGAGGGUGACCGGCCACAUUGGGACUGAGAUACGGCCCAGACUCCUACGGGAGGCAGCAGUGGGGAAUAUUGCACAAUGGGCGGAAGCCUGAUGCAGCAACGCCGCGUGCGGGAUGACGGCCUUCGGGUUGUAAACCGCUUUCGCCUGUGACGAAGCGUGAGUGACGGUAAUGGGUAAAGAAGCUCCGGCUAACUACGUG